ensembl:misc_RNA Metazoa_SRP Metazoan signal recognition particle RNA
GCCGGGUGUGGUGGCGCAUGUCUAUAAUCCCAGCUACUUGGGAGGCUGAGGCAGGAGAAUUGCUUGAACCAGGGUGGUGAAGUUUGCAGUGAGCUGAGAUCAUGUCACUGAACUCCAGCCUGGUGACAGAGCGAGAUCCUGUCUCAA